AUUGAACGCUGGCGGCAGGCUUAACACAUGCAAGUCGAGCGGAGAUGAGGUGCUUGCACCUUAUCUUAGCGGCGGACGGGUGAGUAAUGCUUAGGAAUCUGCCUAUUAGUGGGGGAUAACAUUCCGAAAGGAAUGCUAAUACCGCAUACGUCCUACGGGAGAAAGCAGGGGAUCUUCGGACCUUGCGCUAAUAGAUGAGCCUAAGUCGGAUUAGCUAGUUGGUGGGGUAAAGGCCUACCAAGGCGACUAUCUGUAGCGGGUCUGAAAGGAUGAUCCGCCACACUGGGACUGAGACACGGCCCACACUCCUACGGGAGGCAGCAGUGGGGAAUAUUGGACAAUGGGGGGAACCCUGAUCCAGCCAUGCCGCGUGUGUGAAGAAGGCCUUAUGGUUGUAAAGCUCUUUAAGCGAGGAGGAGGCUACUGAGACUAAUACUCUUGGAUAGUGGACGUUACUCACAGAAUAAGCACCGGCUAACUCUGUGCCAGCAGCCGCGGUAAUACAGAGGGUGCGAGCGUU
rnacentral:rRNA from 1 species